GAUGAACGCUGGCGGCGUGCCUAAUACAUGCAAGUCGAGCGAACGGACGAGAAGCUUGCUUCUCUGAUGUUAGCGGCGGACGGGUGAGUAACACGUGGAUAACCUACCUAUAAGACUGGGAUAACUUCGGGAAACCGGAGCUAAUACCGGAUAAUAUUUUGAACCGCAUGGUUCAAAAGUGAAAGACGGUCUUGCUGUCACUUAUAGAUGGAUCCGCGCUGCAUUAGCUAGUUGGUAAGGUAACGGCUUACCAAGGCAACGAUGCAUAGCCGACCUGAGAGGGUGAUCGGCCACACUGGAACGGAGACACGGUCCAGACUCCUACGGGAGGCAGCAGUAGGGAAUCUUCCGCAAUGGGCGAAAGCCUGACGGAGCAACGCCGCGUGAGUGAUGAAGGUCUUCGGAUCGUAAAACUCUGUUAUUAGGGAAGAACAUAUGUGUAAGUAACUGUGCACAUCUUGACGGUACCUAAUCAGAAAGCCACGGCUAACUACGUGCCAGCAGCCGCGGUAAUACGUAGGUGGCAAGCGUUAUCCGGAAUUAUUGGGCGUAAAGCGCGCGUAGGCGGUUUUUUAGUCUGAUGUGAAAGCCCACGGCUCAACCGUGGAGGGUCAUUGGAAACUGGAAAACUUGAGUGCAGAAGAGGAAAGUGGAAUUCCAUGUGUAGCGGUGAAAUGCGCAGAGAUAUGGAGGAACACCAGUGGCGAAGGCGACUUUCUGGUCUGUAACUGACGCUGAUGUGCGAAAGCGUGGGGAUCAAACAGGAUUAGAUACCCUGGUAGUCCACGCCGUAAACGAUGAGUGCUAAGUGUUAGGGGGUUUCCGCCCCUUAGUGCUGCAGCUAACGCAUUAAGCACUCCGCCUGGGGAGCACGACCGCAAGGUUGAAACUCAAAGGAAUUGACGGGGACCCGCACAAGCGGUGGAGCAUGUGGUUUAAUUCGAAGCAACGCGAAGAACCUUACCAAAUCUUGACAUCCUUUGACAACUCUAGAGAUAGAGCUUUCCCCUUCGGGGGACAAAGUGACAGGUGGUGCAUGGUUGUCGUCAGCUCGUGUCGUGAGAUGUUGGGUUAAGUCCCGCAACGAGCGCAACCCUUAAGCUUAGUUGCCAUCAUUAAGUUGGGCACUCUAAGUUGACUGCCGGUGACAAACCGGAGGAAGGUGGGGAUGACGUCAAAUCAUCAUGCCCCUUAUGAUUUGGGCUACACACGUGCUACAAUGGACAAUACAAAGGGCAGCGAAACCGCGAGGUCAAGCAAAUCCCAUAAAGUUGUUCUCAGUUCGGAUUGUAGUCUGCAACUCGACUACAUGAAGCUGGAAUCGCUAGUAAUCGUAGAUCAGCAUGCUACGGUGAAUACGUUCCCGGGUCU
rnacentral:rRNA from 1 species